GUGAAUCAUCGAAUCUUUGAACGCAAAUUGCACUCGAGGCCCCGGCCGAGAGUAUGCCUGCCUCAGUGUCGGUCCACACCCUCGCCUCUUUCACGUUGCGCGAAUGAGCGGACCUGGCUGUCUCGACGUCGAGUCGAGUCCGCUGAAGGACAGAGGCCCGAGCGCGGCUCGCGUUGGGCAACAGUCUGGUAGGUGGGCGACCACAUGCCGCUGUUGGCCUGAGCUGGCGCUGGAAGCCCAAGCAGGAAACACCCAAUGAACAUUCGACCUGAGUUCAGGCAAGAACACCCGCUGAACUUA
rnacentral:misc_RNA from 1 species